ACAGGGAUUGAUCCGGCCCAAUAAAUAUGCAGGGAAAACUUUUGCUUUUUGUCGCAGGCGAAUCGAGAAAAUCUACUUUCCUCAAAGAGAUGCGUAUAAUACGCGGCAUUAUUUAUGAACUCGAACUUAUUCCAAAAUACAAAUAAGUGAUAUAUCAAAAUGUAUUACGAGGAAAGCACGUAUUGAUUGAUGCUCGUCAAAAACUGGGAAUCCCAUAGGGAAACACCGAACAAGAAACAAUGCGAAAUAGGCGAAAUUAAUUGAAUGUA